CUCACUACUCAACUCUCUCUCUUCACUUAUCUCUCUCAGAACCCUCUACCUCUCCCCGUCUCUUUGAGCUGCACCGAGAUGGUGCAAUGGCAAACACCAAGCCCGAUGACGCACCCACCAAACCACCUUCAUCCUUUUGGCUCAUCUCAAACACUCUCUCGGCUUGAUAUUGUGCUUAAUGCACAGAUGUAGCAAUGACACCAUCGUCAUACUUCCUGACGAGAUUUCAUGAUUUUCCCGCUGAACCUUCGUCGUUCACAAACUUGGUUUUAGUGCUGAGUUUUCGUGUCAACUAGGAUUCUUGGCAAAUCUUGAUAUAGGUGUUUACCUUCGAUGGUGCAUUGAAGGAUCGAGAUUACAAUGUAGCAAAUUUGUGUGCUAUUGACGACGUCACCCAAGAGGGUAGUACAGGAGCUUGGUCGAGGUGCUAAUUAGACGAUUUAUAUGUAUUUCCCAAUGAGGGGCAAGAUGGUAAUAUUGCACCCUCAGAAAUUUUUUACGUGCUUACAGAGACAAUGGUGAGCUGUCGAUAUCGCAGACUGCAGACCGUAAUAUCAAUAACUUAUUCGUUGUGUUUGUUAAACAAGUGGACAAGUAGGGUUUUUUAUGUUAGCAUUUUUAGUUAUUUAUUGUUUGGGCAUGACCCAAAGAUAUCACACAUUUAUCUUCAGAGUACGUGACGCUACGAGUGCGUAAUUUCUAUGUUACGUGACGCUACGAGUGCGUAAUUUCUAUGUUCAGUUUUAAUUUCAG